CAGAGGAUAGUUCAAUGCAGAACAUAAGCUUUGGGUGCUUAAAAUGGGGGUGCGAGUCCUUCUCCUCUGG
rnacentral:tRNA from 1 species